AUUCCAGCAGAAGAGAUCAGACUCUUCAGGACUCAACUGUGUGUUUGUGCAAACUUUAAUAAUUUUCAAAGAUGGAGACCCCUGAUCUGGACACAGAUAAUGUUUCCCCACACUCAAAAACCAGUAAACUCCAGGGAGAGAGAUCAGAAUCACCAGCACCCAGCUGUAUCUCCAUGAAGAGUGAUCAGUCUAUGGAACCUCCUCUGGAGUUUAAAGAUGGAGACUCCUCACUUCUACACAGUGUUCUACAGAGAGCAGGAGACAGAAUAGAAAAGAACAUCAUCACAGAUACAGGG